GCUACAGCUGGGAGGUGUGGGAGCUGCCUGGGGUGGAAGUGUGCAGCCCCUUUCUGCUGAGCAGUUCACUCUGUUACCUGAUACACCACACGCUGCUCAUCAAUACAUCAGAAGAGCCAUCCAGUUUUGUAGGAGAGAUACAGCAGAGAUGUUUCUGCUUAACUGCAAACAUCUGUAAAGGUGUUUCAUGAGUGUAAGAUACAACUGGACGGGUCAGUGACAAUAGGAUGAGGAUGUAGUACUGCUUGCCAGUUGCCUUGGGAAGGACAGCAGUGCUAAGUAUUGUGUGAACAUCAGUGAUUGCAAAGAAGACACGGCACUAAGGGAUCAAGGCAUAAGGACAAGAACGUCUUGGAAACCCCCCUUCCCCCUGGAGCUGUGCUGCCUGUAGGAAGAAACUCUGAACCUACAAGAAGGCUGCUGUGCAAACCCUCAAGAGGCCUUGAGAGAAACCAUGUGGAACCAUGAACUCACCAUCUUGGUAGCCAGAGGACAGAUGCAGCAAGUCUGGAAUAUUCUGUGCAAGUUGGGAUAUGCUUUAGGAAAAAUAACAAAAGAAGACAAGAUAUAACCGGUGGAAAAAUCUCAAAUGAAAAGAAAUCCUGGACCUGCAGAAAAAAACCUCAGUUGAGCAAAACAAGAUACUGCUGUCAGGCUGUCUGCAGAUUUAAACCUGAUUUGAAUCCUGCUUUUUCACUGUCAUCAGUCAGCUGGAGGAAUGAAACAGCUAGUGGCCAAAGCAAGGACCAGAUUGUGAAAGGAUUUUAGGUGCCGUCACAUGCAGGUAGGCAUCCAUCAAGAAUUUACAAGUUUCUGUGCAGUAGAAACCAAUUUCACUGAGCUGCUGUACACCUUUAGGAUUGUGGACAAGAGUGAUCCUAAAGCCAUAUGCAGGAACUGAGUUGUAAAAGAUUAACAUUAACAUGUGUGUUCCCUGGUCCCAGAAACAGCAAGCAAAGAAAGAGGAAUUCCAGAUGGCAAAGGAAUCUGCAGGGUGCAGAGGGAAGUCCUGCUGCUCUGCCAAGCAGGAGCAGUUUGCUGCUCUGUCCUCUUAUUUAUCUCAAACUCACCAUUUGCUUAUUAUAAACACUGUUCAGUCAAAUGUGUCAUUCAGGAGAGAAGAAUUUGAUCUACUUGCAGUAAGAAUUUGUCACUUGAGAGGUGUCUGAAUUCCUCCCUGGAUUCAUUUGCAUGUUUUACCAGUCAAUCAAUGACAGUUCUGCCACAAGAAUAUUUUUCUUACUUCUUAACAGAACUUGUCACUGGCAAGUUACAUCUUUAAGCCAUCUUCUGUGUGUUUUAAGUGAAAAAGUAGUAAUUUACUUCACAGUGUCACUUUGAAUGACUUAAGCAUCACAAUAAAGGAUUUACAAAAAACA